GCCCUUGUGGAUCAACGGUACAUCUCUACCUCAACAGCAAAGGAUUUCAUCCAGCUGUAUGGAGGCAUCGUGGGUUCGACUCCCACUGAGGGCA